rnacentral:piRNA from 1 species
GGUUUUGAUAAGGUGAAAAGAAUAGUCAC